GGUUGAUCCUGCCAGUAUUAUAUGCUGAUGUUAAAGAUUAAGCCAUGCAUGUGUAAGUUUAAAGACCAAGUAGGAUGAAACUGCGGACGGCUCAUUAUAACAGUAAUAGUUUCUUUGGUUAGUCGGUACAAGGAUAACUUUGUGAAUGAUAAAGCUAAUACUUGAGACGAUCCGGGAAGUAUUUAUACUUUUCGGCCCUCGGCCGCGAGGUCGGGGAGAAACGACAUUCUCUUGUGAAAAAGGAUGCCGCGACAAUUGAGGAAAGCGACGCUUUUAACAAGUAACCAAUGGG
rnacentral:rRNA from 1 species